UUCAAAGCUCCACUACUUUAAACAUAAAAAAUUCAAAAAAAAAUAAAAAAAAUGUCUUUCUUCAUUGUGGUUCAAUCUUCUAGCUCAACUAGCAAGUCAAGUAGUUAUGAGGAUCCAUCCACAUACAAAAAAAGGCAAUCCAAGAUUAUAAAGCUCAGCAAAGUCUCUUGUGUUGAAAUUUUGACGCCAUCCUGGGGGAUACACUGUUUCACGUCCCAAUUGUCGAAAUAAAACCAAAACGAAUCGAUGAAUUCCCAUCGUUGGUGUUGGAUUCUCGUAGCAUACUAUUUCAUUUCCUAGUAUAAGGUAAAAUAAUCGAAUAAUUAAUGACAAUAUGAAAAGAUUUUUGAAA